AACGUAGGUGGCAAGCGUUAUCCGGAUUUACUGGGCGUAAAGCGUGUGCAGGCGGAGGUGUAAGUGGUGUAUGAAAGCGCUCGGCUCAACCGGGCAAGGUUAUGCCAGACUGCAUUUCUCGAGGGCGAGAGAGGGGCAUGGAAUUCCGGGUGUAGUGGUGGAAUGCGUAGAGAUCCGGAGGAACACCAGCGGCGAAGGCGGCAUCCUGGACUGGUACUGACGCUCAUGAGCGAAAGCGUGGGGAGCGAUCCGG
rnacentral:rRNA from 1 species